rnacentral:rRNA from 1 species
CACACGGUAAACGAUGAAUACUCGCUGUUUGCGAUAUACAGCAAGCGGCCAAGCGAAAGCGUUAAGUAUUCCACCUGGGGAGUACGCCGGCAACGGUGAAACUCAAAGGAAUUGACGGGG